rnacentral:rRNA from 1 species
GACGAACCACACAACCGUUAUUCGGAAUUACUGGGCUUAAAGGGUGCGUAGGCUGCGCGGAAAGUUGGGUGUGAAAUCCCUCGGCUUAACCGAGGAACUGCGCCCAAAACUACCGUGCUCGAGGAAGAUAGAGGUGAGCGGAACUUACGGUGGAGCGGUGAAAUGCGUUGAUAUCGUAAGGAACACCCGUGGCGAAAGCGGCUCACUGGGUCUUUUCUGACGCUGAUGCACGAAAGCUAGGGGAGCAAACGGG